CAACACAUGUACCAGAAACUGUGUUUCAGUGACUGGAAGGGGAGGGAGGUGGCAGUUACAUCAAAGAUGUACAAGAAAAGGGUCAAGAGGAAGUUCCUGGGCCUUCAAAUUACUGCCCCAUAGAUGUGAAGGAUUUUAAUACUUAUUGCUCUUUAUGAACAAAUCUGAGCACAAGCUAAAGCUCGCUAUUAACACCAAAAUACCACAAAAGUCUUUCUCAUACUUUACCAGCCACAGACUGUAAGUCCAAAAGGUAUUUGUGAGGUUGUGUAUGGGCCUAAAGCCUUUCUAGUAAGAGGGGACUUUUAAAAGCACAGUUAUUUGCACCAAUUAAAAGAUUAACACCUUUAAGAAUCUUGGCAUGUCUCUGGUUUGGGGGUAGGAAGAAGUCCGUUCCACCUACGUUGGCAACUUGCUCUGCUGUAAUCCUGUAAUUUUCGGGAGCCACUGGGGAAUAGUUGUUAAAACUUCUCAGAGAAGAUGGCUGGUUUUGAUACAAAAAACUUCUGCAUUGACUUCAGAUUUUUACAGAAAGCAUUUAGCUGAACUUACACUUGGGACAAAUUUCCUUUGGCAUUGUAUCAAGCGUUUUCCUACAUCACAGAAGCUUUCCAUGACGACUUGUUAUUUCUCAGAAUCAAUAAACACCCAGCUAAAUGCUGCCAAUAUUUAAUUAGAUCUGUACUAAGUUUCCCUGCUUGUUAACAGGGCUUCCCAUCAAACUUCAGGAAGGAAGUUCUUCCCUGUAAACACGAAGCUCCAAACAGACCAAGACCCAUCUUCACCUGCUCAGGGUCUGUGACCGAAACACCAUUCGAAGCACGCCGUGCGCUGAAAAAGUUGGCAGGAUACCUCCCGAGGAGCAAUUUGCAGCCUAGGCAAUGAACUGCUGGAGUGCUCAGUUUGCCAUACCCAGGGUUGUUCUUAAUACAGGUUACUUUCCAUGGAACAAUGCCAGAAACCACAGUGCUGGUACAACUGAUGAAGCAAGGCCCUGGGACAGAGAGGAAAGAAAAGCAGUUGGGUUAGCAGGCACUGAGGAGGAGGCGUGCCUGGGAUCAAGGAACUACCGGCUCAGAAGGUGUCUCUUCCACUACUAAGGGUAGAAUGCACUCAGAAGGGUCUUAUAAUAAACCAUUAACAAACAGAAAGUUCACACACAAAUGGAUAAUGUAUUUGGUUUUAAAAAAGACUCAGACUAAAGAGUAAAAAUUGCUCAAUAUGUGGCUUCUGUAGAAAAGGUAGCUAUAAACAUAUAAGUGUUAGGGAAUGUGUAUAUAUACAAACAUGCACAUGCAUACACACACAUACACAUAUUCACACACAUGCACAAAAAGUAGCUCUAAAUGUACAAGAAAUGCAAAAUAUGUCUCGCUACAGAGUCUUUGCCAGCCUUCAUGCAGCUCUGAUCCUCUCCUCUGGACAGGCGGUUGUUGAAAGCAACAACCUGAGAAGCCUACAGAGGGAGCAGGUCGCCUUCUUUUCUCGAAUGACAGGCGUUUUCACCAGUAAGUGGCGAUCCCGAGAGAGUAGACAAACGUAGAGGAUGAAAAUAUCUUCGGGAGCACAGCCUAGGGCCAGAGUGAGUUACCCUUCCAUCAGGGAGCAGCAGCAGCACCUGCCUCUCGAGGCAUGGGCAAAAGGGCUGCAGAUCCACAUCUACCAUCUUUUCCCCCUUCCCUCUUCUUCAGGUUCACAUCUCACCUCCUCAACGAGUCAAGAAUCUCAUGGGUUUUCCCCCUUCUGCAGUCACUGGGGUGUCCCAGCACUUCAGCUCAUUGCAGAAUGGAGAUUUGCUUGUUUAGAAACUGAGUAGAGUUUAAUCUUCCAACACCUACAGCCAAAGUAAUAGAGCACUGCCUAGAAUUAAGGGAAGAAUGCACUAGGAAAAUACUGAGAUUUCCUUUUGAAGAAAAAUAAUAACUCAAAAAUGUGUAACUGUAUGGCCCAGACAACGUAAGAGAAGUCGUAUUCAACAGAACCAAUAUUAAAGCUGCAUUCAGAAGACAGAACGUACACAAAUGUCAGUUAUUGUCAUUAGAAACUAUGUGCCUGAAUUGAACGUUACAUUUAUUCUAAUUUACAUGUGCAUACACUCCUAAGAAUCUUUACCCCCUGUAUACCUGUAUUGUAUGUGCAGAAAACUACUAAUUAUUAGGACAAUAUAGAGCCCAGAAAGCUCAGCCUAG